GAUGAACGCUGACAGAAUGCUUAACACAUGCAAGUCGAUGGGGAAGUGGUGCUUGCACCAUGGUAACCAUGGCGGACGGGUGAGUAACGCGUAAGGAACUUGCCUGCGGGACUGGGAUAACAGCAGGAAACUGCUGAUAAUACCGGAUAAUGUCAUUAAGCUGCAUAGCUUAGUGAUGAAAGGAGACGCCUGCGGAGAGCCUUGCGUCCUAUUAGCUAGUUGGAGGGGUAACGGCCCACCAAGGCGAAGAUAGGUAGCCGGCCUGAGAGGGUGGACGGCCACAAGGGGACUGAGAUACGGCCCUUACUCCUACGGGAGGCAGCAGUGGGGAAUAUUGGACAAUGGGGGCAACCCUGAUCCAGCAAUUCUGUGUGCACGAAGACGGUUUUCGGAUUGUAAAGUGCUUUCAGCAGGGAAGAAGGAAGUGACGGUACCUGCAGAAGAAGCGACGGCUAAAUACGUG
rnacentral:rRNA from 1 species